UACGUAGGGGGCUAGCGUUGUCCGGAAUCAUUGGGCGUAAAGCGCGUGUAGGCGGCCCGGUAAGUCCGCUGUGAAAGUCGGGGGCUCAACCCUCGAAUGCCGGUGGAUACUGUCGGGCUCGAGUGCGGAAGAGGCGAGUGGAAUUCCUGGUGUAGCGGUGAAAUGUGUUGAUAUCGGUGGGAACGCCAGUGGCGAAAGCGGCAAACUUGACCCUUCCUGACGCUGAGGCGCGAAAGCUAGGGGAGCAAACGGG
rnacentral:rRNA from 1 species